CAAGCUCCCUCUUGGUCCUCCUGGACAGGACUCUGUCUGCAGUAACUUCUGCCACCACCAGGAGCAGCACAGUAACAGUGAACAGGAUGAGCUUCAUGAUGAAUCUGGAAAAGGAAAGGGAACAGAAAUAGACACAGUCAAAGUGCUUCACCAGGAGAAAGGAUGCCAAGACAAACAGGAGCUAAAUAUGAAAAUGGAUGGAAAACAAGCACUUGAAAUAUGUUGCCUUUAAGAGAGGGUGAAAGGCUCGUUUUUCCAGGUGUCCUUUGCAGUACAAACUGGGAUUUAAUUCCUCUUCCACCAUGUCUAUUAGAAUGGGAUUUAAUCCAGCUGAACUGUCAUCACGCUGUGAUUAAAUGUUCUAAAACAGAAUCACCAGUGCAGUUACUACCACAGGGAGGAGCCACUAUCAUCCAAGAUUAGUAACGGAAAUAAAGUAAUGUCCUGCUGUCAGAGGUAAUCUGUCACCCUCGAGGAAGUUGUCUGGGUGAAUAGAUAUAGUCUACUCGUGUUGUAAUGGA